GUCGUCACGACCAUGUGACGGAAACAGCUCUCAGAUUAUGAGCUGCCAAACUGUUAAGGAAGAAAUCGAUG
rnacentral:sRNA from 17 species